rnacentral:tRNA from 1 species
GGGCGCAUAGCUCAGUUGGCAGAACAGCUGACUCUUGAUCAGCGGGUCGUAGGUUCGAGCCCUACUGCGCCCACCA